CUCCUGUCACAGGGGUGAACCAUAGCACAGAACAAUACAGAGAAGAUCAGCACGGCCCCUGUGCAAGACUGCCAUACAAAACAUGAAGCAUUCCAUAUUUUA